AAACAGAAGGACCACACUGAACCAUAAUGCAGCGAUAUUUUUUCCAAAAAAUAUUUCAAAACCUGGUGCAACUAUAGAUGCUAAUCGAAGUGCAACUUCAUCGCCUAUAGUUGCUCUUAAUCAGAUUACUCCAUCUAAACCAGUCACACCCAUGGAGAAGGGACAACAACAGAUUCUGGUAAAUACGUCACAAUUCAAUAUUCAGAAUAGCCAAUUUCUGAAGGAGGAGAUAGGAAGACAU
rnacentral:lncRNA from 1 species